rnacentral:rRNA from 1 species
UACGUAGGGGGCUAGCGUUGUCCGGAAUCAUUGGGCGUAAAGAGCGUGUAGGCGGCCCGGUAAGUCCGCUGUGAAAGUCGGGGGCUCAACCCUCGAAUGCCGGUGGAUACUGUCGGGCUAGAGUGCGGAAGAGGCGAGUGGAAUUCCUGGUGUAGCGGUGAAAUGCGCAGAUAUCAGGAGGAACACCGAUUGCGAAGGCAGCUCGCUGGGACGUCACUGACGCUGAGACGCAAAAGCGUGGGGAGCAAACAGG